UUCCAACCAGUUUUCUUAGUCCAUCCUUGGGGGGAAGGAGAAUAGCAACAGAACUUGUAGUGGGUUGAAUGGUGUCCCUCCAAAAGAUUUCCUUGUAAGAGACUAUUCUGUAUGCAUUUUGAGGUCACCCUAUGAAGACUUAGCAGGAAAGAAGCCAUCUGGAAGUCCACGUCAGAAUCGCCCAACAGCUUGAGCUGAGACCUCCAGCCUCUAGAACUAAUUAGAGAGACUGUCUCCAGCUAGUCCAGUAACUAAGAUGACUGAGAGGAGCAGAAGAGAGUUUCUGAACAAAUCCAGGAAAAG